GCCACCGUAGCACAAUGGUUAGUGUGUCGCUUUCCUACUUGGGGUUACUGUAGGACCUUGGAGCAAGGCGGAGGUUGCGGGUUCGAGUCCCGUCGGUGGUU